UUAAUACUCCCUCCGUUCCGAAUUACUUGUUUCGCGUAUGGAUGUAUCUAGAUGUAUUUUAGUUCUAGAUACAUCCAUUUCAGGGACGAGUAAUUUGUAACGGAGGGAGUACAUG
rfam:Triticum aestivum genome assembly, contig: Triticum_aestivum_CS42_TGACv1_scaffold_147574_2BS